GACGAACGCUGGCGGCGUGCUUAACACAUGCAAGUCGAACGGAAAGGCCCUGCUUUUGUGGGGUGCUCGAGUGGCGAACGGGUGAGUAACACGUGAGUAACCUGCCCUUGACUUUGGGAUAACUUCAGGAAACUGGGGCUAAUACCGGAUAGGAGCUCCUGCUGCAUGGUGGGGGUUGGAAAGUUUCGGCGGUUGGGGAUGGACUCGCGGCUUAUCAGCUUGUUGGUGGGGUAGUGGCUUACCAAGGCUUUGACGGGUAGCCGGCCUGAGAGGGUGACCGGCCACAUUGGGACUGAGGGACGGCCCAGACUCGUACGGGAGGCAGCAGUGGAGAAUAUUGCACAAUGGGCGGAAGCGUGAGGCAGCAACGCCGCGUGCGGGAUGACGGCCUUCGGGUUGUAAACCGCUUUGGCCUGUGACGAAGCGUGAGUGACGGUAAUGGGUAAAGAAGCACCGGCUAACUACGUG
rnacentral:rRNA from 1 species